GCAGGGACACAAAAGGCUGCUCCCAGGAGCCACUCCCCAACUACCAGCGAUAUCUUCACCCGUGGGGGCUUCGGCGACACUCGGACCGUCCAGCUGCUGACAGCUGCAGCUCCCCGGCCGCCGGUCACACCCUGGCCGCCCGCCGGCCCUCUUCCGCCUCUUCCUCCUCCUCCUCCCGCCACGAACCGGCUCCCCAGCGCAGCACCUGCUCGCUACAGCUCGUCCUAAAGAUUAGGGUGAAGCCCGCGACGGACCGGGAGCUCCGCGCCCUGCUGCGAGCCGCCCGGGAACCCGACCAGACGCACCCACUGCCCGGCGGCGGCUGACCUGGGCCCAGUAUCCUCAGGGCAGCAAGUAGAUGACCACAAAGAGCGCCAGGUCGAAGAGAAGGAAAAGCCACAAGUCCAGCCAGUAGGACUGCCCCGACAGCGACAUCGCCUGCACCCGGCCGCCAUAGUCCGCCGCGUCCUGCUGCUCCCGCCGCCUCACCUCCGUCUCCAUGCCUCGGAGGGUUGCCUCGCAUGACGGCGAUACUCACCGCGCAGGCACCAGCUGUACUUCCGGGUAGGAAGCCAAUGGGAACAAAGCGCACGUAUUGCCGUCACGCCCUGUAGUCAACGCACGCCGGCACCGCCUUUGCUGUCUCGAGCCGCUCGGCGCUUACGUGCUGUGGAGGGCGAAGAGCGGAGGGCGAUCGGUCGAUGCCGUGUUCUGGGACAAGCGCUGCCUGUUGGGGCUGAGUUGGUGACUGACGCUUCUGCGGUAGUACUUGUGUACCACUGGUUGCCGCUCCCUGACAGGGCUCUCGGCCGGGGUAGACGUGUGGAGAAAAGCAGGGGAAAGACAUUUCUCCAGCAUGGGCAACUGUGUCCUGGAAGGCUGAGACACUGAAAAGGAAGCAUGUUUCAUAAUCUGCAAUAUUUUUACAUGUAGCAUACAAAUCAGCUCUCCCCAUAACUACAUCUACCAAUCUCUCUUCCCUAUAAAUGUGCUGUUAUCUUUUCUGGGUGUCAAUAUUGGAAAGUCAUGAAAGAUUAUGAAAAAAAGAACUUGCACAGGAAAAAUUUCCAUCAUUCUUACACAUUUCUUGUACCAGUAAUUUUGUGUCCCUCAGUUUGGAUUCAUUUGGUAUUUCACCUAUGAGCAUGUGAAAGAACCAAGAGGCCAGUAUGUUCAGUGGAAAAUAAAGUGACCAUUCACAAACUCUAAUGACAUAAUUUUGAAAAACUGCAACUACAGUCUGGUAUUUCAUAAGGAAAGGGGCUGAAAGGGCACAGAAGAGCUCAAAGGAACAUCUCAUGCCUGCGUUCUGACUUCAUUUACAAUUUAUCUUUCCCUUCCUUGAUCUUCUGCCUUUGACAGCCAGAACAGUAAGUUUCAUUUCAGCUGAGAACACUUCAGCAUAAAAAUCUGCACAUUGAAAUCUUAGCUGUUCUUUGAAAGAAAGAGUAGUAACAACUACAAAAAAAAUCAAACUGCAAAAAAGCAUAAGAUGACUACUUUCAUCAUAGGCAACAUAGUCAGAAAGUCUAUAUGCCAUAGGAAAUGUUUUCAGUAAUCAAACUUGUGGAAUGUGGCACCAAAGAAAGAAAAUAAGUUUUCUAAAGAAAACUCAGUUGGUAUACUUGUUUCUCCUGUAAAUAACUGCAGCUCUUUAGCCAACCUGUAUCUCUCAUUGCAGUGUUUCUCUUUUAUGUAAUGUAUUGAUUCAACUCAGAAACUGAUCAGUUUAAGCUUCACUGUAUUUUUUAUUUCUGGAAAAUGUGCUUCUGCCUGUUUAAGGCUCACAUCCAUGCCUUUUGUUGUUCUGUUAGUUGAGCAUUUCUAAAGUAAUAGUAAAAAAUUCAAUUACCGCUGUUACCUGCAGCUCCCUUGUUUCCUCCUCAGCAGCAGAAGCAUGGUAUGAGAGAACCUACAGAAAGAGGAAAGUGGCCAUCAGGACAAACGAAAGAUCAAUGUGGUGAAAAGCCCACCAGCUAGAUGCCUUCGGGUCACCAGUGACUGGCCCUGACUUGCCUCCAACAUUAAUCCCAACAAAGAAUGAACCUUGAUAGAACUGGAUGAGUUCUGCAGUAAAGAAAUGA